UAGGGAAUCUUCCACAAUGGGCGCAAGCCUGAUGGAGCAACACCGCGUGAGUGAAGAAGGGUUUCGGCUCGUAAAACUCUGUUGUUGAAGAAGAACGUGCGUGAGAGUAACUGUUCACGCAGUGACGGUAUUCAACCAGAAAGUCACGGCUAACUACGUGCCAGCAGCCGCGGUAAUACGUAGGUGGCAAGCGUUAUCCGGAUUUAUUGGGCGUAAAGCGAGCGCAGGCGGUUACUUAAGUCUGAUGUGAAAGCCUUCGGCUUAACCGAAGAAGUGCAUCGGAAACUGGGUGACUUGAGUGCAGAAGAGGACAGUGGAACUCCACGUGUAGCGGUGGAAUGCGUAGAUAUAUGGAAGAACACCAGUGGCGAAGGCGGCUGUCUGGUCUGCAACUGACGCUGAGGCUCGAAAGCAUGGGUAGCGAACAG
rnacentral:rRNA from 1 species